AUUGAACGCUGGCGGCAUGCUUUACACAUGCAAGUCGAACGGUAACAGGCCGCAAGGUGCUGACGAGUGGCGAACGGGUGAGUAAUGCAUCGGAACGUGCCCAGUCGUGGGGGAUAACGCAGCGAAAGCUGCGCUAAUACCGCAUACGAUCUAUGGAUGAAAGCGGGGGACCGUAAGGCCUCGCGCGAUUGGAGCGGCCGAUGUCAGAUUAGGUAGUUGGUGGGGUAAAGGCUCACCAAGCCGACGAUCUGUAGCUGGUCUGAGAGGACGACCAGCCACACUGGGACUGAGAAACGGCCCAGACUCCUACGGGAGGCAGCGGUGGGGAAUUUUGGACAAUGGGCGCAAGCCUGAUCCAGCAAUGCCGCGUGCAGGAAGAAGGCCUUCGGGUUGUAAACUGCUUUUGUACGGAACGAAACGGCUCUGGUUAAUACCUGGGGCUAAUGACGGUACCGUAAGAAUAAGCACCGGCUAACUACGUGCCAGCCGCCGCAGUAACAC
rnacentral:rRNA from 1 species